GAUGAACGCUGGCGGCGUGCCUAAUACAUGCAAGUCGAGCGGACAGACGAGGAGCUUGCUCCUCUGACGUUAGCGGCGGACGGGUGAGUAACACGUGGAUAACCUACCUAUAAGACUGGGAUAACUUCGGGAAACCGGAGCUAAUACCGGAUAAUAUAUUGAACCGCAUGGUUCAAUAGUGAAAGACGGUUUUGCUGUCACUUAUAGAUGGAUCCGCGCCGCAUUAGCUAGUUGGUAAGGUAACGGCUUACCAAGGCAACGAUGCGUAGCCGACCUGAGAGGGUGAUCGGCCACACUGGAACUGAGACACGGUCCAGACUCCUACGGGAGGCAGCAGUAGGGAAUCUUCCGCAAUGGGCGAAAGCCUGACGGAGCAACGCCGCGUGAGUGGUGAAGGUCUUCGGAUCGUAAAACUCUGUUAUUAGGGAAGAACAAAUGUGUAAGUAACUAUGCACGUCUUGACGGUACCUAAUCAGAAAGCCACGGCUAACUACGUG
rnacentral:rRNA from 1 species